rnacentral:rRNA from 1 species
AACGUAGGUUCCGAGCGUUAUCCGGAAUUACUGGGCGUAAAGGGCGCGUAGGCGGCCCGCUAAGUCGAACGUGAAAUCCCCGAGCUCAACUCGGGAACUGCGUCCGAUACUGGUGGGCUUGAAUCCGGGAGAGGGAUGCGGAAUUCCAGGUGUAGCGGUGAAAUGCGUAGAGAUCGGGAGGAACACCAGCGGCGAAGGCGGCAAACUGGAUAGGAACUGACACUCAACAACGAAAGCGUGGGAGCAAACAGG